AGACCGCUGGCCUGGAUCGUGACCUUGUCUCACUGUUAUGGACCUGCAUGGUGAUGGUGUGCUUACUGACCCAUUAGACCCAUAUCAGGAUGUCAGCAUCCAAGUCACCAACACAGGACGUAAGAAUUAAGACUAUAUUUUUUAAAACAACAAUAUAGUAACAAGCUGUGACAUCCUUAUGGGAUGCUUUGUAAGAAAAUAGGGUGAGAAAAAAGACAUUCCUUGAAAAGCAGAUUCUCUGAGAUGCUAAAACAGUAGCGUUUACUUCACUCCAAUUGGUAGAGUAAUUGUGCAUGCUUUGAUAUAAUGACACUGUGCGUAUCUGGGUGGCUUGAUGCGUUGUGACCCUCUUGCUUCAGCACAGGCUCACUGUAACAUCUGUGAGUAGAUAAAAAGGAGAGAGUCCUGGAGAGCAGAUGUCUUUCAUGAUCCAGUUGUGUGGCACAGUAGGCGGUGGUCUGCUGAAGAUGCCCAGCGUGGGCACUCACCUUGGCAGAAACUUGAGGUCUGGGAGUUUUUUUCAUUGGCUGCACAAAGAUUUCUUGGUGGGAGGAAGCUGUGCUUUGGCUCUGGAAGCUCCACUUCCCCAGAGGAGAUCUAGUCUAAUAUUGACAAGUAGCUGCACCUUGGUGUUAGGUUCUGAGCAGGGCAAUGUAUAUCAAAUUUCAGCCUGGGAAGCUUUACAUUUCAGUUUAGCUUCCUGAAGGUCAUCUGCCUCUACACGCUGGCCAGAGUGAUGGAGUUGAAAUAGCUCAGCAAGUCCUCCAUGGUGAAGUCCAUGGUGAUCCCUGACCCUGCAUAACAACGUUGGAUCAGAUCCUGCAGCU